rnacentral:rRNA from 1 species
UGAGGAAUCUUGCGCAAUGGGGGAAACCCUGACGCAGCAACGCCGCGUGAGUGAGGAAGGUCUUCGGAUCGUAAAGCUCUGUCAGAUGGGAAGAAAUGCUUGGGGGUGAAUAUCCUUCAUGCUUGACGGUACCAUCAGAGGAAGCACCGGCUAACUCCGUGCCAGCAGCCGCGGUAAUACGGGGGGUGCAAGCGUUGUUCGGAAUCAUUGGGCGUAAAGAGCGUGUAGGCGGCUUGAUAAGUCAGAUGUGAAAGCCCUUGGCUUAACCCGGGAAGUGCAUUUGAAACUGUCUUGCUUGAGUAGGGGAGAUGGAAGUGGAAUUCCUGGUGUAGAGGUGAAAUUCGUAGAUAUCAGGAGGAACACUGGUGGCGAAGGCGACCACCGGGACCUACACUGACGCUGAGACGCGAGAGCGUGGGUAGCAAACA